rnacentral:rRNA from 1 species
UCCGGUUCUGCAGUGGGUACGGGCAGANUAGAGUGCAGUAGGGGGRGACNNGGAAUUUCCUGGUGUAGCGGUGAAAAUGCGCAGAUAUCAGGAGGAACACCGAUGGCGAAGGCAGGUCUCUGGGCUGUAACUGACGCUGAGGAGCGAAAAGCAUGGGGAGCGAACAGGAUUAGAUACCCUGGGUAGUCCAUGCCGUAAACGUUGGGGCACUAGGUGUGGGGGACAUUCCACGUUUUCCGCGCCGUAGCUAACGCAUUAAGUGCCCCGCCUGGGGAGUACGGCCGCAAGGCUAAAACUCAAAGGAAUUGACGGGGGCCCGCACAAGCGGCGGAGCAUGCGGAUUAAUUCGAUGCAACGCGAAGAACCUUACCAAGGCUUGACAUGAACCGGUAAUACCUGGAAACAGGUGCCCCGCUUGCGGUCGGUUUACAGGUGGUGCAUGGUUGUCGUCAGCUCGUGUCGUGAGAUGUUGGGUUAAGUCCCGCAACGAGCGCAACCCUCGUUCUAUGUUGCCAGCGCGUUAUGGCGGGGACUCAUAGGAGACUGCCGGGGUCAACUCGGAGGAAGGUGGGGACGACGUCAAAUCAUCAUGCCCCUUAUGUCUUGGGCUUCACGCAUGCUACAAUGGCCGGUACAAAGGGUUGCGAUACUGUGAGGUGGAGCUAAUCCCAAAAAGCCGGUCUCAGUUCGGAUUGGGGUCUGCAACUCGACCCCAUGAAGUCGGAGUCGCUAGUAAUCGCAGAUCAGCAACGCUGCGGUGAAUACGUUCCCGGGCCUUGUACACACCGCCCGUNAAGUCACGAAAGUUGGUAACACCCGAAGCCGGUGGCCUAACCCUUGUGGGGGGAGCCGUCGAAGUGACC